AUUGAACGCUGGCGGCAAGCCUAACACAUGCAAGUCGAACGAGUGGCGGACGGGUGAGUAAUGUCUGGGAACCUGCCUGAUGGAGGGGGAUAACUACUGGAAACGGUAGCUAAUACCGCAUACCAUCGGAUGUGCCCAGAUGGGAUUAGCUAGUAGGUGGGGUAAAGGCUCACCUAGGCGACGAUCCCUAGCUGGUCUGAGAGGAUGACCGGCCACACGGGAACUGAGAGACGGUCCAGACGCCUACGGGAGGCAGCAGUGGGGAAUAUUGCACAAUGGGCGCAAGCCGGAUGCAGCCAUGCCGCGUGUAGGAAGAAGGCCUUCGGGUCGUCAAGUCCUUUCAGCGGAGAGGCGUUGCCCGCAGCAGAAGCGCCGGCUAACUCCGUGCCAGCCGCCGCGGUAAUAC
rnacentral:rRNA from 1 species